GACGAACGCUGGCGGCGUGCUUAACACCUGCAAGUCGAACGGAAAGGCCCUGCUUUUGUGGGGUGCUCGAGUGGCGAACGGGUGAGUAACACGUGAGUAACCUGCCCUUGACUUUGGGAUAACUUCAGGAAACUGGGGCUAAUACCGGAUAGGAGCUCCUGCUGCAUGGUGGGGGUUGGAAAGUUUCGGCGGUUGGGGAUGGACUCGCGGCUUAUCAGCUUGUUGGUGGGGUAGUGGCUUACCAAGGCUUUGACGGGUAGCCGGCCUGAGAGGGUGACCGGCCACAUUGGGACUGAGAUACGGCCCAGACUCCUACGGGAGGCAGCAGUGGGGAAUAUUGCACAAUGGGCGGAAGCCUGAUGCAGCAACGCCGCGUGCGGGAUGACGGCCGUCGGGUUGUAAACCGCUUUCGCCUGUGACGAAGCGUGAGUGACGGUAAUGGGUAAAGAAGCAACGGCUAACUACGGG
rnacentral:rRNA from 1 species